rnacentral:rRNA from 1 species
UACGUAGGGGGCAAGCGUUGUCCGGAAUCAUUGGGCGUAAAGGGUGCGUAGGUGGCGCUGUAAGUCGGGUGUGAAAUUUCGGAGCUUAACUCCGAAACUGCAUUCGAUACUGCGGUGCUUGAGGACUGGAGAGGAGACUGGAAUUCAUGGUGUAGCAGUGAAAUGCGUAGAGAUCAUGAGGAAGACCAGUGGCGAAGGCGGGUCUCUGGACAGUUCCUGACACUGAGGCAC